rnacentral:sRNA from 1 species
UCGACUAAGGUUCGACUCGAGCGCCAGCGAGAGAGCGUUGCCGCAGGCAACGACCCGAAGGGCGAAGCGCGCAGCGCUGAGUAAUCCUUCCCCCACCACCA